GGGGAUGAUCGGUUUCGACAGCGGAUGUCGAAGUAGGGGAAGCGAGCCGAGGAAGCGCGGCAAUGAUCUCGUUAACCAUGUGCCGUGAAAAAAUAAUCGCCAAUAACAAGCGCGAUUCCUUCGCCCUCGCUGCCUGAGCAGCGACUCGCGGAGUGUCAGCCCGGGCCUGUUCCCGUCCCGGUGUCUGGCAUCAGCUAGGGAACUCACCUGUUAGCUCCGGUCGCGGGAGCUAAGGGGACACCACACAGCGACUGAGCCCGUCGGAGACUUGUCCGCGUGAUCUCCGGGGCUGAGAAAAUCAGAGCGGACUGCGCUCGGAGAAGCCCUCCUUCUGCUUCGUUGGACGCGGGUUCGAUUCCCGCCAUCUCCACUU
rnacentral:tmRNA from 1 species